GGGGAUUUAGCUCAGUGGUUCGACCGCCUGCCUCUCAAGCUCAAGGACCCGAGUUCGAUUCCCGGUACCCCCA
rnacentral:tRNA from 1 species